rnacentral:rRNA from 1 species
AUUGAACGCUGGCGGCAGGCCUAACACAUGCAAGUCGAGCGGAUGACGGGAGCUUGCUCCUUGAUUCAGCGGCGGACGGGUGAGUAAUGCCUAGGAAUCUGCCUGGUAGUGGGGGACAACGUUUCGAAAGGAACGCUAAUACCGCAUACGUCCUACGGGAGAAAGCAGGGGACCUUCGGGCCUUGCGCUAUCGGAUGAGCCUAGGUCGGAUUAGCUUGUUGGUGAGGUAAUGGCUCACCAAGGCGACGAUCCGUAACUGGUCUGAGAGGAUGAUCAGUCACACUGGAACUGAGACACGGUCCAGACUCCUACGGGAGGCAGCAGUGGGGAAUAUUGGACAAUGGGCGAAAGCCUGAUCCAGCCAUGCCGCGUGUGUGAAGAAGGUCUUCGGAUUGUAAAGCACUUUAAGUUGGGAGGAAGGGUUGUAGAUUAAUACUCUGCAAUUUUGACGUUACCGACAGAAUAAGCACCGGCUAACUCUGUGCCAGCAGCCGCCGUAA